GUAGGUGGCAAGCGUUGUCCGGAAUUAUUGGGCGUAAAGCGCGCGCAGGGCGGUUCUUUAAGUCUGAUGUGAAAGCCCACGGCCCAACCGUGGAGGGUCAUUGGAAACUGGAGAACUUGAGUACAGAAGAGGAAAGCGGAAUUCCACGUGUAGCGGUGAAAUGCGUAGAGAUGUGGAGGAACACCAGUGGCGAAGGCGGCUUUCUGGUCUGUAACUGACGCUGAGGCGCGAAAGCGUGGGGAGCAAACAGGAUUAGAUACCCUGGUAGUCCACGCCGUAAACGAUGAGUGCUAAGUGUUAGGGGGUUUCCGCCCCUUAGUGCUGCAGUUAACGCAUUAAGCACUCCGCCUGGGGAGUACGGCCGCAAGGCUG
rnacentral:rRNA from 1 species